CUACGGGAGGCUGCAGUGGGGAAUCUUAGACAAUGGGGGAAACCCUGAUCUAGCCAUGCCGCGUGAGCGACGACGGCCCUAGGGUUGUAAAGCUCUUUCAGCAGGGAAGAUAAUGACGGUACCUGCAGAAGAAGUCCCGGCUAACUCCGUGCCAGCAGCCGGCGGUAAUACGGAGGGGACUAGCGUUGUUCGGAAUUACUGGGCGUAAAGCGCGCGUAGGCGGAUUGUUAAGUCGGGGGUGAAAUCCCGGGGCUCAACCCCGGAACUGCCCUCGAUACUGGCAGUCUUGAGUUCGAGAGAGGUGAGUGGAAGUCCGAGUGUAGAGGUGAAAUUCGUAGAUAUUCGGAGGAACACCAGUGGCGAAGGCGGCUCACUGGCUCGAUACUGACGCUGGGGUGCGAAAGCGUGGGGAGCAAACAGGAUUAGAUACCCUUGUAGUC
rnacentral:rRNA from 1 species